rnacentral:rRNA from 1 species
UGGGGAAUCUUCCGCAAUGGGCGAAAGCCUGACGGAGCAACGCCGCGUGAGUGAUGACGGCCUUCGGUUGUAAAGCUCUGUGAUCGGGGACGAACGGUCCGUAAGCUAAUACCUUAUGGAAGUGACGGUACCCGAAUAGCAAGCCACGGCUAACUACGUGCCAGCAGCCGCGGUAAUACGUAGGUGGCAAGCGUUGUCCGGAAUUAUUGGGGCGUAAAGGGAGCGCAGGCGGGAGAUCAAGUCUAUCUUAAAAGUGCGGGGCUCAACCCCGUGAGGGGAUGGAAACUGGUCUUCUUGAGUGCAGGAGAGGAAAGCGGAAUUCCUAGUGUAGCGGUGAAAUGCGUAGAUAUUAGGAGGAACACCAGUGGCGAAGGCGGCUUUCUGGACUGUAACUGACG